AUGAGCAAGUAUUUAUGUUAUGUUCACUCUCCAUUCUGCUAUUCAAACCUCCACACACAAGCCAAAAAAUCUGCUAAAUAUUUACUUGCACUCCAGGUUAUUGAUGACCUGAUGGCUUUUAUCCCUCUUCCAAGAAUGCAGGUUAUCACAUGGUACCCCGAUCUCACUCGGCUCCAGCUGAUCACCAGCUGCUUCUUUAUACACUGUAAGAUUCAUCUCCAAACUAUUCUUUUUUUAUUUUUCUUAAUCUGUUUCAAAGGACUGUGAUUUUACAGCAAGAACUUUUGAAGUGAUUUGAUAGUAGAAGAAGAAAAAAAAACACUAAUUAACAAACAAACUCUACUGUCCACUAUUAUUACAUGAAAUGCAAAAUGUUUUAUUCAGGUUUUGCUCUUUCAGCUCUCUUGCUAGGAUCUGUCAAUCCAUUAAACUGUUCAGAACCAACAACUAAAUCACUUCUUACUGCCAUGAAAGAGGAAGUCAUCCUCUACAGCGAUGCAAGGCCAGUUAUAAGUCUGAGCACUCCCACCAACGUCACCGUGGACUUGACUCUCUAUGGGAUCUUAGGAGUGGUAAGCAAAUUUGACUUAAAAUUUACAAAACCAUGACAUUUUUAUAGUACUAACCCACUUAAUAUUAUAGAAAUGGUUACAAGUUACCAUACUGUAUCUUCCCUUUCAGAAUGAAAAAUCACAGGUGUUGGAAACAUAUCUGUGGGUGAGGAUGGUAAGACUCAACAAAAACACUGUUUAGACAAGGGGAGUGUAAUAUUGACAAAAAAAAAUAAUAAAUUUUGAAUUUUGAAUUGUCUAAAAAUAGCAAAAACUACGACUUUAUUCAGCAUUGUCUUCUCUUCUGUGUCUGUUGUGAGAGAGUUCAAAACAAAGCACUUUGUGAUCCGGUUCAUGAACGAAUCAUUCGAUGUAACUGGAUCUUCUUGAACCAGUUCACCAAAUCGAACUGAAUCGUUUGAAACAGUUCGCGUCUCCAAUACGCAUUAAUCCACAAAUUUUUAAUGUGGCUGACACUCCCUCUGAGUUCAAACAAACCAAUAUAAAGUCAUUGACAUACCC
rnacentral:lncRNA from 1 species